rnacentral:rRNA from 1 species
CGAACGGGUGAGUAAUACAUCGGAACGUACCCAGUAGUGGGGGAUAGCUCGGCGAAAGCCGGAUUAAUACCGCAUACGACCUACGGGUGAAAGCGGGGGAUCGAAAGACCUCGCGCUAUUGGAGCGGCCGAUGUCGGAUUAGCUAGUUGGUGAGGUAAAGGCUCACCAAGGCGACGAUCCGUAGCUGGUCUGAGAGGACGACCAGCCACACUGGGACUGAGACACGGCCCAG